UCAUUUUUGUGAUUUGCAGCUUGAUCAUUCCAAAUACAGUUGCAUAGUCACAAAAGUGAUU
rnacentral:pre_miRNA from 1 species